rnacentral:lncRNA from 1 species
GAGGUGCAGGGGGUUCUUAUAGAGGCGACGGGAGGCGGUGGGAAGGAAUGUGCUUCGCGAAUCCCGGAGGUGGGGAUUCUUCUCUCCAUGGAUGGAAAGUUCUGUCACGUGAGGGAGAGAGGAGGAAGAAGAUGAUCUUUUGUUGGGCUAGAAUAGGAAAGUGUCUUAAUGGGCCAGCAGGUAUUUCCUAAUAAAAGUG